UACGUAGGGACCGAGCGUUGUCCGGAAUCACUGGGCUUAAAGCGUGUGUAGGCGGAUCGUUAAGUGUCUUGUGAAAUCCCACGGCUCACCCGUGGAACUGCUGGGCAUACUGGCGAUCUUGGGCCAACUAGGGGCAACUGGAACAAGCGGUGGAGCGGUGAAAUGCGUAGAUAUCGCUUGGAACGCCAACGGUGAAAACAGGUUGCUGGGGUUGUGCCGACGCUGAGACACGAAAGCCAGGGGAGCAAACGGG
rnacentral:rRNA from 1 species